UGCAGCUAGCGAGGUAACGGAGCGGCGAACGGCUCAGUAAGACAGAUGGAUCUGACCACUAAGAAGGAUAACCACGGGAAACUGAGGCUAAUACUAUAUUGGGUGAACAUCUGACCUAUCAGCUUGUCGGUAUGGUAAUUGCAUACCGUGGCUACAACGGGUAACGGGGAAUCGGGGUUUGAUUCCGGAGAGGGAGCCUGAGAGAUGGCUGCCACGUCCAAGGACGGCAGCAGGCGCGAAACUUACCCACUUGGAGGACCAGAGGUAGUGACGAGGCGUAUAAAUGAAUUUACAGUAAACAAGUAAAUGAAAGCGACUGGAGGGCAAGUCUGGUGCCAGCAUCCGCGGUAAUAGAGAUUGCACAAUAAAUUAGUGUAAGAUCGACUGGAGGGCAAGUCUGGUGCCAGCAUCCGCGGUA
rnacentral:rRNA from 1 species